rnacentral:rRNA from 1 species
GACGGAGGGUGCUAGCGUUGUUCGGAAUCACUGGGCGUAAAGGGCGCGCAGGCGGCCUCAUAAGUCGGGUGUGAAAGCCCGGGGCUCAACCCCGGAACGGCACCCGAGACGGUGGGGCUGGAGACCGGGAGAGGAGGGUGGAACUGCGAGUAUAGAGGUGAAAUUCGUAGAUAUUCGCAAGAACACCAGUGGCGAAGGCGGCUCACUGGCCCGGUACUGACGCUGAGGUGCGAAAGCGUGGGGAGCAAACAGG